rnacentral:rRNA from 1 species
UACGGAGGAGGCAAGCGUUAUCCGGAAUGAUUGGGCGUAAAGCGUCCGCAGGUGGCAAUGUAAGUCUGCUGUCAAAGCGUCUGGCUCAACCAGAUAAAGGCAGUGGAAACUACAUAGCUAGAGUAAGGUAGGGGUAGAGGGAAUUCCUGGUGUAGCGGUGAAAUGCGUAGAGAUCAGGAAGAACACCGGUGGCGAAAGCGCUCUGCUGGACCUUAACUGACACUGAGGGACGAAAGCUAGGGGAGCGAAUGGG